AGAAUCAACGCUGGCGGCGUGCCUAACACAUGCAAGUCGCACGAGAAAGGGUAGCAAUACCUGAGUAAAGUGGCGCACGGGUGAGUAACACGUGAAUUAUCUACCUCCGAGUGGGGAAUAACUGAGAGAAAUCUUAGCUAAUACCGCAUAACACUUACGAGUCAAAGCAGCAAUGCGCUUGGAGAGGAGUUCGCGGCAGAUUAGUUAGUUGGCGGGGUAAUGGCCCACCAAGACGAUGAUCUGUAUCCGGCCUGAGAGGGCGCACGGACACACUGGAACUGAAACACGGUCCAGACUCCUACGGGAGGCAGCAGUGGGGAAUUUUGCGCAAUGGGGGAAACCCUGACGCAGCAACGCCGCGUGGAGGAUGAAAUAUCUUGGUAUGUAAACUCCUUUCGAUGGGGAAGAUUAUGACGGUACCCAUAGAAGAGCCCGGCUAACUUCGCGCCAGCAGCCGCGGUAA
rnacentral:rRNA from 1 species